ensembl:lncRNA
GACCCAUAGCAGCCAUGGACAGACCCAACGGAUCAGAUGUGAUCCCAAACGCGAUGGCAGUGAGCCCGGGCUAGGAAAGCAGAGAUCCCAAACCCACCCCGUUGGGCACAUCGUGCUGCACCAGCGCCGCUCUGCAGAAGGCAGCUGGAGGCUCUGCCCCUAUCCCAGCGCCGGCUGUGGGGGAUUUACCAGCACCAGCACGGCCCUUUGCUUUGCUUUCCGAACGAAAGUAAAGCGGAGCAGUUUGCAGAAGGUUCUCAUUAGGGAAACAUCUGGAGUCAGCCCUUCUCCCCCAAAGGGCAGCGGAGUGCUCGGAGGAAUCGGGGGAGGAGGAGGGAUGGAUGGCUGAGGCGUGUUUCGGCGUGCUGCCGGGGCAGGGACCCAAGGAAGGUCCCAGCAGCGCUCCCAGCAUCUGUCCCAGCGCCCGGGGGUGCCCGGAUCUGUCCGCUGGGAUGGAUGGGGCUGUAGUGACAUCUGCUGGGCUCUCACUGGGGAAGUCCCGCGGAACCCGCACGGCACGGACCCUCCGGCGCCGCACAGACCCGGAUGGCAGCGCUUCCCCUCGUCCUGGGAGAAACGACGGAUGUCUGACGGCCGCGGUGUGCCCCGACGUGCCGCCGUUGCUGCGAGGGCGUCGCUGAUGCCGUGCUGCGCCUCAUUAUGCAAAUAGAAGCAAUUAGAGCUCACCCAGGCUCUGCCCACGUGAUGGUUUAUGGCACUCGCAGAAAUCCUUCCUGCUACAUGAGGAGAAUGACAACGGCCCCGGGCUGCAGCCAGCGCACCCCAACCGCGGGGAGCUGAUGGCGGUGCCUUUGGUGGAGCCCCACAUCAGGGACCGACCCCAUCACUGCUGCCCAGAAGCGCCCACGGGAGGGACUGCCCAGGAGGAGCCCCCCAACCCCCCAGGUGACAUCGUGGCACUGGGGACGGCUGCAGCCCUCAGCCCCGAGGACGGCACGUGGGGCUGCAGUGCCACGCGUGGCAUACAUCAGUGCAGCUCAGUCCGCCCAACCGGGGGCUGCCGUGGUUAUCCCACGGUCACCCAUUCCGAAAUAGAAUAUGGAAGGCAAACAUGUACAGAGUCGCCAGCCCACCUCACGCCGGACUUCCUCGGUGUAUUUUCAGUUCCUUGAGCAGGGAAGGGCUGUCCUGGGCCCAGUGCUCAUCGUGGCACAAGAGGCGUCCAUCAGUAGCGCAGGGUGCGGACACAGCGAGGACCGGAGCACAGAGAGCAGCCCCGUGGGGACACAGCAUUGGAGGCUCUGGGACUACCUGAGGGCCACUGAUGGGUGAGAGAGUUGAUUUUAAAGUGGAGGAUCUCCAAUAAAGGCAGAGGAAUACAACCUCCAAUGGGCACAGGGGAAGGGCAGAACUCACCCAGCAAGGAGCCAGCAGGGCACGGCCUGCACAGCCAACGGUGGGGAGGGCUGGAAUCCCCUCCCGGGUUCGGGAUGCACUCGGUGUGCUUUUAAAGGGGCUCUGGUUGUGCUUCAAAACAGCCUGUCUGUAAUUGCCAAAAAAAUAAUUAAAAAAAAAAAAUAGACAAAACAACCCGCUACAAUGACUAAUUAGCUCGCUCCUGCCUCGUACCCUGUAAACAAAUGUAUUUGUAACCAAUUUGCAAGCACUUUGCAUAAGGGGCCCAGAACACUCAUGCCUGUUUGAUGCAUUUUGACAUUAAUUUGAUAAUAGCGGCUUAACAAGGAAUCCAGGCUCCCUAGCUAUAAAUAUGCUGCUUUUCCCCCUCCUUUUAUCUGCACAGUGAAAUAAUGUUGUUUUUCCCCCUGCUGCAAUAACCACCAUCCAACCCUUUCAUGAACACCCUUUAUGUCCUUUAGCAUUUGCAAGGCUUUUUUUUUUUCCUCCUCUCUCUUUUCUUCCCUCCUCCUGUAGAAAGCAGGAGGGUUUUACGAGCUGUCCUCUUCAUUCCUGGUUACGGAGGGGAUGGAGAGGACAGCGAUGGUGCUCCAAUAAUGCUGCUUAUGGGAGAGUGGCUCAGAAGCCCUUCCUCCAUCCACCUGUGCUCCCCACCUGUGGCAGGGAUGCAGCUCAUCCUCUUUUCCCCCUUCUCAGCACGCUGUGGAUCUCCAACUCCACGCAGCCCUUCGGUGCCACACCAGCAGCAAAUGGGAGCACAAUGAAAUGGGAAUGGGAUGCUGGGGACAGCAUUGGUGCCACCCAGAGCACAGGUCCCAGCCCCAGUGGGUGGCACCGCAGCAUCGCCAGAGCCACCGCGUGUCCCACAGACACCAAACCACAGCCACAGCCCAUCCCUGCCCCAGCAGCAACACUUCUCUCCUCCUGGUCCCUCCCAAAGCUUCCCAUCUAUGUGUAGAACCGCGGGAUGGUUGGGUUGGAAGGAACCUUAAAGACUGCGGAAUGGUUGGGUUGGAAAGGACCUCACAGCCCCUCAGCCUCAACCCUGCUGUGGGGCAGCGUGGAACAAUAAUGUGACUGAAUGGCUGCAGAGCUCUCACCCUGCUGUCUCCCGGCUCCCCUACGGCCCCCACCUGGGAACAGUCACAGCUCUGUGCCAGCAGAUGUGCCGCAGGGGCACAGCACAGCUCCAGGACGAGCUGCUCCAUCCCCAGCCCUCCUCUGGGAUUAUUAAUGCCCAAACAAUGCAGUGAGCCCCAGCGAUAAGCCAGAGCCCCAGCAGAGUACAUUCCUUCCUCAGCCUCCU